GACGAACGCUGGCGGCGUGCUUAACACAUGCAAGUCGAACGGAAAGGCCCUGCUUGCAGGGUACUCGAGUGGCGAACGGGUGAGUAACACGUGGGUGAUCUGCCCUGCACUUCGGGAUAAGCCUGGGAAACUGGGUCUAAUACCGGAUAGGAGCCAUUUUUAGUGUGAUGGUUGGAAAGUUUUUUCGGUGUAGGAUGAGCUCGCGGCCUAUCAGCUUGUUGGUGGGGUAAUGGCCUACCAAGGCGGCGACGGGUAGCCGGCCUGAGAGGGUGGACGGCCACAUUGGGACUGAGAUACGGCCCAGACUCCUACGGGAGGCGGCAGUGGGGAAUAUUGCACAAGGGGCGCAAGCCUGAUGCAGCGACGCCGCGUGGGGGAUGACGGCCUUCGGGUUGUAAACUCCUUUCGCUAGGGACGAAGCUUUUUGUGACGGUACCUAGAUAAGAAGCACCGGCUAACUACGUG
rnacentral:rRNA from 1 species